AGAGUUUGAUCCUGGCUCAGGAUGAACGCUGGCGGCGUGCCUAACACAUGCAAGUCGAGCGAAGCAUAUAACAUGAAGUUUUCGGACGGAAUGUUAUCUGACUGAGCGGCGGACGGGUGAGUAACGCGUGGGUAACCUGCCUUAUACAGGGGGAUAACAGUUAGAAAUGACUGCUAAUACCGCAUAAGCGCACAGUACCGCAUGGUAGUGUGUGAAAAACUCCGGUGGUAUAAGAUGGACCCGCGUCUGAUUAGCCAGUUGGCGGGGUAACGGCCCACCAAAGCGACGAUCAGUAGCCGACCUGAGAGGGUGACCGGCCACAUUGGGACUGAGACACGGCCCAAACUCCUACGGGAGGCAGCAGUGGGGAAUAUUGCACAAUGGGGGAAACCCUGAUGCAGCAACGCCGCGUGAGUGAAGAAGUAUUUCGGUAUGUAAAGCUCUAUCAGCAGGGAAGAAGAUGACGGUACCUGACCAAGAAGCCCCGGCUAACUACGUGCCAGCAGCCGCGGU
rnacentral:rRNA from 1 species